rnacentral:rRNA from 1 species
AGGACGAACGCUGGCGGCGUGCUUAACACAUGCAAGUCGAACGGUCUACCUCGACGGAAACCUUCGGGUUGAAGACGAGAUCUAGAUAGUGGCGGACGGGUGAGUAACACGUGGAUAACCUGUCCUCAAGACUGGGAUAACCUGGCGAAAGUCGGGCUAAUCCCGGGUAAGCUGAGAGUGUGGCAUCACACAAUCAGAAAAGGUGGUUUUACCAUCGUUUGAGGAGGGGUCCGCGGUAGAUUAGCUAGCUGGUGAGGUAAAGGCUCACCAGGGCGACAAUCUAUAGCUGGUCUGAGAGGACGAUCAGUCACACUGGAACUGAGACACGGUCCAGACUCCUACGGGAGGCAGCAGUGGGGAAUCUUCCACAAUGGGCGCAAGCCUGAUGGAGCAACGCCGCGUGAGUGAAGAAGGUCUUAGGAUUGUAAAGCUCUGUCCUUAGGGAAGAACCGUGGGUAUAGUAAAUGAUACCCAUCUGACGGUACCUUUGGAGGAAGCACUGGCUAACUACGUGCCAGCAGCCGCGGU